AGAGUUUGAUCAUGGCUCAGGACGAACGCUGGCGGCGUGCCUAACACAUGCAAGUGGAGCGACGAACCGGGCUUCGGCCCGGGGCAAAGCCGCGAACGGGUGAGUAACACGUGGGUAACCUGCCCUGAUGAUUGGGACAACCCGAGGAAACUCGGGCUAAUACCGAAUGUGCCCUCCGGCCAUAAGGCCGCUGGGGAAGGGAAGCUUCGGCCUCCGCAUCGGGAUGGGCCCGCGGCCCAUUAGCUUGUUGGUGAGGUAACGGCUCACCAAGGCGACGAUGGGUAGCUGGUCUGAGAGGACGAUCAGCCACACUGGGACUGAGACACGGCCCAGACUCCUACGGGAGGCAGCAGUGGGGAAUCUUGCGCAAUGCGCGAAAGCGUGACGCAGCAACGCCGCGUGGGGGAAGAAGGCCUUCGGGUUGUAAACCCCUUUCAGUUGGGACGAAGCUUCGCCGGUGAAUAGCCGGCUGGAGUGACGGUACCUUCAGAAGAAGCCCCGGCUAACUACGUGCCAGCAGCCGCGGUAAUACGUAGGGGGCAAGCGUUGUCCGGAAUCAUUGGGCGUAAAGAGCGUGUAGGCGGCUCGGUAAGUCCGCUGUGAAAGUCCAGGGCUCAACCCUGGAAUGCCGGUGGAAACUGUCGAGCUAGAAUCCGGAAGAGGCGAGUGGAAUUCCUGGUGUAGCGGUGAAAUGCGCAGAUAUCAGGAGGAACACCAAUGGCGAAGGCAGCUCGCUGGGACGGUAUUGACGCUGAGACGCGAAAGCGUGGGGAGCAAACAGGAUUAGAUACCCCCGUAGUCC
rnacentral:rRNA from 1 species